rnacentral:rRNA from 1 species
UGGGCUUGACAUGCAUUGUUCAGUCUAUGAAAGUAGAUGGGGUAGCAAUACCCGAAAUGCACAGGUGCUGCAUGGCUGUCGUCAGCUCGUGUCGUGAGAUGUCGGGUUAAGUCCCUUAACGAGCGAAACCUUUGCCCUUAGUUACUAACGAGUUAUGUCGAGGACUCUAAGGGGACUGCCGGUGUCAAACCGGAGGAAGGUGGAGAUGACGUCAAGUCCUCAUGGCCUUUAUGCCCA